UUAUCAAAUAAUAUUAAUUUGUUUAACAAGGCGCCACGAUGACGGGCCUCUUAAGAACACAUUAACUUUCUAUUUUAUGGGUAGGGAUAUUUGCCGGCUGACAUGGAGUGCAAUAAAAACUUAACAAAAUAUUUUAAGGGUCUGAAAGGUUCUCACAGCAAAGCAAUCAAACAUGUGCUAAGCAGAACUUACAAGCCGAUGCCAACCGUUAGGGCAAUUAGGACCUUGAGACAAAGGACUCAGUAUUGAAUAGAAGUGCACAUGUGCCAAAUCCCAAAUGGACCCCGACAACGAUACUUAGAACAAUUGAGAAUGUGUACAAAAAGACUAAUAAAUCUAUCUCGUAACAGAUAAACCAAUACGUGAAAUAGGACCUUAAGAACAGGGUGGAAGAGCGUCCAGUAAGGUGACGAGCUCUACAGGGUUGCGCGGAUGGCGGGGCGCAACCUCUUCCCCUCCGGGGGAAGCCUGCGGUAUUUAUAUAUGUUAGGAAAAACGAAAAUUUUUACAGCCUAGGGUUGUCUUGGAACGGUUACAUUUGGCGCUGCGUGACCAGGAUUCUCGUCAUUAAAUGUACUGAUUCACAUCAGUGCAACGAGAAUAAAAGAUCUAAAUCGGUUACUACACAAAAACACAACGUAGAUUUGAUUUCAUACUUAUGGUCCUUGACGAGGCAUUACGGCAAUAAAACAGCAUUGGGUUCGAUACCCUGUGAUUUUUUGUACAACGUGAUGAACUGUGAGUUCAUAUGGCGAUGAUUACGGUUACGGGUUCGACUCCCUAACAGAAGUGUUGUAUAAAACGAGUCAUAAUAACGACGUAUUUUAGUUAUGGGUUCGAUUCCCUAACGAAGAUCUAGACUCUGGCUAGAGGUGAAAGAUGAUGGAAGAAUUAAGAGAAAUAUAACUACGGUUAUGAUUUACGGUAAUGGGUUCGAUUCCCAUAUAUUACCAUGGGUGUGAAUUGUAUAUACUUAUUUAUGGAUGGAUACAGUUGGAAAUACAGUUAUGGGUUCGAGUCCCUAACAAAAAUGUGCAGUCUAAAGGUAUUUAUGUAUGUGAUUGUAAUUAUGAAAGAAAUGAAUAUGUGAAAUACUAGGACAGAAAAAUUUGGCAGAUAGCUAGAGGCAGGAUGUUGGUUCUUAAAUAUUAAAAUAAUGUUGUUCUGAAAUUUCACUAUAAGUGUAAAACUGUAUCAAUAAGCGUUAUGACACUGCGUAUUUGCAUAAGCGUAAGGAUAGAAUUAGUGUAAGAAUACUGAGCGUACCUACUUUAAAGAAAAGAAACGUCAUGGCUGUACACCCCGCUUCUAUAUAAGUAUAUAACGACGUAUAUAAUUACUUUUGGUUUAACUGACGAAGCGACAGCUCCCUCUAAGUUGUAUUUACGUGUGAUUUAAAUAUUUAUCUUUGUAAUUCCUUCACACGCAGGAAAACGAUAUAUUGUGUGGCUAUUGAUAUAGCCUCUGUCUUCUGUAAAUAGAUACUUGGCUGGUUUUGUUUUAAAUUCCAGGACACUAACAGACUUCAUGUACGAGACUACAUAUUAUGUAAUUUCGGCAUAAAUCUGCGUCGUUUGGGUUCAAAGUUUCAUCAAAAUCGUCGUGCGCGUUCGUCGGCUGAUGUACCUACGUACUAGCAGCCCUAGUGUGGAUGCAGUUGCGAAGCUAAGUUUCCAAAAUUAAAUUAAUUAAUUUAAGUUAAUCGAUAGUGCUGAAUCAUAUUCCAGCUCGUGAUGAUUGAAUCAAUGUGGACAUGAGCUAUCACGGCUGUGUCACACAGUGUAUCUUUUAAUGACAGACAUAUAUUGGCAUUUCCAUUUAAAUCGGUUGAAAAAAAAAGGGGAACUGAAUUAAUGUUUGUUCAAUGUUCUGUCUUAUUAGUUGAUUUACAACCGGCUCUAUCCUCUUAGAAUCGGAGGGGGGUAAACCCAUUUGGGACGAAUUUUUACAUUCUAAUAUAUAAAUUAUACAACUAUCAUUGGAUUAACUUCCAAUUAGAAUCAACUUCUAAUUAGUACAUGUGCGAACUAUUCCAGGAUAAAAAUGCUGCAAUAAUUAUCACGACGCGACGGAGAGGCCUAAGUACAGCAGCUGUAGUAGGCUGAGUUGAUAAGGGAAGGUAACGCGGUGCCAUAAUGAAAAGCUCUAGUAGAAGAAACUCUGGUAUGUAUAUUCAACUUAUAAGCAUGCGCAGAUUCUUCUAUUAGACCGGAACCAAAGUGAUUUCAUCAAAACGUUGUUUCAUCUAGUAAGAAUCUUAUUGGUGGAAAUAUUCCGUUAGGCAAGCCUUAUGUUUUAACUGACUGAUGCUAGGAGCUCUCCGGCCUAUUGUGAAAUCUCAUACGCUGUACUGCGUCACGCGUCUGAUUUUCAGAGGGGGGAAUGUGACUGUCGUCACCUAGCCCUAAUUAUUAUCAAAUAAUAUUAAUUUGUUUAACAAGGCGCCACGAUGACGGGCCUCUUAAGAACACAUUAACUUUCUAUUUUAUGGGUAGGGAUAUUUGCCGGCUGACAUGGAGUGCAAUAAAAACUUAACAAAAUAUUUUAAGGGUCUGAAAGGUUCUCACAGCAAAGCAAUCAAACAUGUGCUAAGCAGAACUUACAAGCCGAUGCCAACCGUUAGGGCAAUUAGGACCUUGAGACAAAGGACUCAGUAUUGAAUAGAAGUGCACAUGUGCCAAAUCCCAAAUGGACCCCGACAACGAUACUUAGAACAAUUGAGAAUGUGUACAAAAAGACUAAUAAAUCUAUCUCGUAACAGAUAAACCAAUACGUGAAAUAGGACCUUAAGAACAGGGUGGAAGAGCGUCCAGUAAGGUGACGAGCUCUACAGGGUUGCGCGGAUGGCGGGGCGCAACCUCUUCCCCUCCGGGGGAAGCCUGCGGUAUUUAUAUAUGUUAGGAAAAACGAAAAUUUUUACAGCCUAGGGUUGUCUUGGAACGGUUACAAUUACAAAUUUCAAAAAGGUGAUAUGGUUUACGUAAUGGACUGUAAUAAAUUGAACAGAUCAAAAAUGGAUGAAAUUAGAAUCGGCCCAUUUGAAAUAGAAGAAAUGAUAUCGGAUUCGCUAUGCAGGAUUAAUACUGGAAAGAAUAAAAAGUCCUUAGGACUUUACCAUGUAACAAAGCUCAUUCCUCAGUUUGAUUACUAAAAUUAACCGGAGGUUAAUUUUCAGUUUUAGGGGGGGAGAUGUAAGCUUUGUUUACUAUAUUAUGUUGUAUACAUACAGUAAGCAAUGUGUGUAAUAACUUAAUUUUUAUUAAUUGUACGUCGCCUAAAUGAACGACACUGCCUACAACGGAACGGGACACAAGCAGUGACGAAACGUCAAAAAGAGAUGUGAGAAUUUUUAAGCCCAUGCGGUUAAAAUUAUAAUAUUACAUUUAAGAAGAUUAGAUUAAACUAAAAUAAUAAACAAUAUAAGUGAUACAGUGUCGAUCUACUAUAUAUGGAAGAAAAACCUUUUAUUGUCGAUUUUUCUGUUUUAGAUAAAUCAAACUGUGUUUUUCUCCAGCACCGUCCAACAUAUUAUAUAUUGUUUCAGACAGAGUGCGGUUAAGUAGUACUUACCUACAUUAAUUACCUAUAUAAUUUAGUCGUCGGCAUAUAUCUAUUGUCAUAUUUUUUCUAGUCGGAAGUUUUUUGUAAGUCGUGUUGCACAAUGUAACAUCAAUUGCAU
rnacentral:lncRNA from 1 species